rnacentral:sRNA from 1 species
GCCGGGCGUGGUGGUGCACGCCUGUCAAUCCAGCAACUCGCGAGGCUGAGACAGGAGGAUUGUGAGUUCAAAGCCAGCCCCAGCAAUGGCGAGGCGCUAAGCAACUCAGUGCGACCCUGUCUCUA